UAGCUUGGAGGGUAGGGCGUCUGUCUUGUAAGCACUAGGUUGCGGGUUCGAUUCCCGC
rnacentral:tRNA from 1 species